UCAGGUGUAGCAAUACAUCUGAAAAGCAGUGGCGAACGGGUGCUUAACACGUGGGCAACCUGCCGAGAAGUGGGGGAUAGCUCGCCGAAAGGCGAAUUAAUACCGCAUGUGAUUAGAGUGGACAUCCAUUUGAAAUUAAAGUCGGGGCAACCUGACGCUUCUUGUGGGGCCCGCGGCCUAUCAGCUAGUUGGUGAGGUAACGGCUCACCAAGGCUUUGACGGGUAGCUGGUCUGAGAGGACGACCAGCCACACUGGGACUGAGACACGGCCCAGACACCUACGGGUGGCAGCAGUCGAGAAUUUUUCUCAAUGGGGGAAACCCUGAAGGAGCGACGCCGCGUGGAGGAUGAAGGUCUUCGGAUUGUAAACUCCUGUCAUUGGGGAACAAUGCGGAGGCGUUAACUGCGCUUCCGUUGAUAGUACCCGAAGAGGAAGAGACGGCUAACUCUGUGCCAGCAGCCGCGGUAAUACAGAGGUCUCAAGCGUUGUUCGGAUUCAUUGGGCGCAAAGGGUGCGUAGGCGGCGCGGUAAGGCGGGUGUGAAAUCUCGGAGCUUAACUCCGAAACUGCAUUCGAUACUGCCGUGCUCGAGGACAGGAGAGGAGACUGGAA
rnacentral:rRNA from 1 species